rnacentral:rRNA from 1 species
UACGGAGGGUGCAAGCGUUAUCCGGAUUCACUGGGUUUAAAGGGUGCGUAGGCGGGUAUAUAAGUCAGUGGUGAAAGCUCCGGGCUUAACUUGGAAACUGCCAUUGAUACUGUAUAUCUUGAAUGUCGUUGAGGUAAGCGGAAUGUUGCAUGUAGCGGUGAAAUGCUUAGAUAUGUUACAGAACACCAAUUGUGAAGACAGCUUACUAAACGAUGAUUGACGCUGAGGCACGAAAGCGUGGGGAGCAAACAGG